rnacentral:rRNA from 1 species
AACCUCCGCAAUGUGAGAAAUCGCGACGGGGGGAUCCCAAGUGCCAUUCUUAACGGGAUGGCUUUUCAUUAGUGUAAAGAGCUUUUGGAAUAAGAGCUGGGCAAGACCGGUGCCAGCCGCCGCGGUAACACCGGCAGCUCUAGUGGUAACAAUUUUUAUUGGGCCUAAAGCGUCCGUAGCCGGUUUAAUAAGUCUCUGGUGAAAUCCUGUAGCUUAACUGUGGGAAUUGCUGGAGAUACUAUUAGACUUGAGACCGGGGGAGGUUAGAGGUACUCCCAGGGUAGAGGUGAAAUUCUGUAAUCCUGGGAGGACCGCCUGUUGCGAAGGCGUCUAACUGGAACGGUUCUGACGGUGAGGGACGAAAGUUAGGGGCGCGAACCGGAUUGGAUACCCGGGUAGUCCUAACUGUAAACGAUGCGGACUUGGUGUUGGGGUGGCUUUGAGCUGCUCCAGUGCCGAAGGGAAGCUGUUAAGUCCGCCGCCUGGGAAGUACGGUCGCAAGACUGAAACUUAAAGGAAUU